GAUGAACGCUGGCGGCGUGCCUAAUACAUGCAAGUCGAGCGAACAGACGAGGAGCUUGCUCCUCUGACGUUAGCGGCGGACGGGUGAGUAACACGUGGAUAACCUACCUAUAAGACUGGGAUAACUUCGGGAAACCGGAGCUAAUACCAGAUAAUAUAUUGAACCGCAUGGUUCAAUAGUGAAAGACGGUUUUGCUGUCACUUAUAGAUGGAUCCGCGCCGCAUUAGCUAGUUGGUAAGGUAACGGCUUACCAAGGCGACGAUGCGUAGCCGACCUGAGAGGGUGAUCGGCCACACUGGAACUGAGACACGGUCCAGACUCCUACGGGAGGCAGCAGUAGGGAAUCUUCGCAAUGGGCGAAAGCCUGACGGAGCAACGCCGCGUGAGUGAUGAAGGUCUUCGGAUCGUAAAACUCUGUUAUUAGGGAAGAACAAAUGUGUAAGUAACUAUGCACGUCUUGACGGUACCUAAUCAGAAAGCCACGGCUAACUACGUG
rnacentral:rRNA from 1 species